CCCUUAGAUGUCCUGGGCCGCACGCGCGCUACACUGAUGCAUGCAACGAGUUUAUAACCUUGGCCUGAAAGGUCUGGGUAAUCUUUUGAACGUGCAUCGUGAUAGGGAUAGAUUAUUGCAAUUAUUAGUCUUGAACGAGGAAUUCCUAGUAAGCACAAGUCAUCAGCUUGUGUUGAUUACGUCCCUGCCCUUUGUACACACCGCCCGUCGCUCCUACCGAUUGAAUGUUCCGGUGAAUACUUCGGACUGCGAGGUUUGCAGUUUCUGCGCUCCUUGCGGAAAGUUGAAUAAACCUUAACAUUUAGAGGAAGGAGAAGUCGUAACA
rnacentral:rRNA from 1 species